UACGGAGGAGGCAAGCGUUAUCCGGAAUUAUUGGGCGUAAAGCGUCCGCAGGUGGCUAUUCAAGUCUGCUGUCAAAGCUCGGAGCUUAACUCCGAAUCGGCGGUGGAAACUGAACAGCUAGAGUGCAGUAGGGGUAGAGGGAAUUCCCAGUGUAGCGGUGAAAUGCGUAGAGAUUGGGAAGAACACCGGUGGCGAAAGCGCUCUACUGGACUGCAACUGACACUCAGGGACGAAAGCUAGGGGAGCGAAUGGG
rnacentral:rRNA from 1 species